rnacentral:lncRNA from 10 species
AAAAAAUUAGAAUAAUAUACCAAAAAUUGUGGUUAUUCUGGAAAGAAGAAUUAGAAUUAUAGAUGUCUUAGAAUUGUCUUCUCUUUCUUCAUUUUUAUGUAUUUCCUACCAAAAGUGUGUAUUACUGUGAAAUGAGAAAAAACAAAACAAAACAUGUUUUUGUUUGUUGAAGGACAAGCCAGAAGGAGGCUGCGGUGGAGGCGGAGCGGUGGGGAGGGUUCUGCCCUGGAAUUUGGCUGCAUCUGGUGAAGCUCAUUGUCUUCGAGGUGUUUUUUUUUUUUCAUGUGAAAAUACAGGAAGGCUGUUUUCAGUGGAUCUUUUGUCCUCAAUCCAAAAGGUGUUUUUCUCCUCUAAGAAAGCAAAGUGCAUGUUCUGCCUGGUCCCUAUUGUGGAGCUGGCCCAGCGUGGAUGGCUUAACUGGACUGACCUGCUGUGAGCAGCCGGCCGCACUGCAACUCCCACUCACUCAGCCAAGAGAGGCUAUGGGGACCCAAGCCCUGCUUUGAGAGAGACUGUCUGAGGUGGGGAGUGGUGUGAGGCCUUGGUCCAUUUCAUUGCUGACAUUAGCCCUGCACCAGCGGGAGAACGUUUCUUCCUUUAAUCACCCCAAGAUUAGCCUGCAGUUGCCUCUUUCUGUUGGAUAUUUGAAUAACAAGCUUGAUGAGGCCACUUAACUCCCUCCAAUUACAGCUAAAGAUUUCCUAGAUGAAAGACCUUGAUCCACUGCCUUUCAUGAUUCAGCACUGGAUUUUCUGUUCCAUGCAGCCUUCUAUUGGAAUAAUUUUGUGAAAUGAAGGCAACAAAGUAUUGUUUUCUUAAUCAAAGAGAACUUCAUAAAAAUUGUGCUCCUUGACUGCUAAUUUGUCCUGCAUUGUUACCGAUGCUUUUCUUAUGAUUUUUGUUUUGCACUGAACAGCCCCCUGGCUGAGAGAAAACCCCGAAGCAGUUAAGAUACCAGGAAAGGAAGACUUGAAAAUUGGUUAGUGAAGAUUCUGAGUAUUUCCUGGUGCGUCUGGGAAUUUUGUUUGUUUUUUGUGGUGAUAUUUCUUUCUCUCUGUAUGUCUCUGUCUCUCUGUCUCUAUCUGCAUCUCUGCCCUUGUUAGAAGGGACUAAUUAGAAUGGCACAAACACGUUAGAAUUGGAGAUCAUUGUUGCAAAGGCCCUUAGGAAGAGGGGGGCAGUUUUGGUCCAUUCUGAAGGCUAUCAAGGCGGUUUCCAGCUUGCUCUUGGCACGAAAAGGAAUAACCAGGGCCAUUUUAAUGCCAUGGGCAGGGAAAGCAUGAUGCAAAGCUUUUGGAGGGGCCACCGGGUAACAACAGGAGAGCACCAGAACUCACGGAGAGAGCAGAGGUUGAGGAAGCCUGGCGCCCCAGCGACAAAGCAGUGUCCCCGACAAAAGAAAGAUUCAAUCUUGGAAACAGAAACAUGAAGUGAAUGUUUAAUACCAUGGUCCAAGAAGAUGGCAUUUUCUGUGACUGGAACAAUGCAGAAUUAAUGUGUAUCUGCAAGAAAUAUCAUUAAGAUUAAGUAUUCUUCAGAGAGAUUGGAGAAUCGGGGAAUUCAAGUGCGUUUGUUGGCUUGAGCCAGCCCUCCGCUACCUGACCCAUCUGCAGGCAGAAAGGGCAUCCACCAAGUGAGUCUUUCUCAGUAGAGGAGGCAGUGUGCUGUUAUAUGCUGAUGCAGCUCCUUGUCUUGGACUCAUAACUGACAGAACAGCAUGUGGACCUCACCGCUCCUUGGACUUCGAGUGGCGCUACUCUAACGCUGAGUCCUGACCUGGAUCCCUGUUUGCUUGCCUAGACCUAAGGCGGUGGUGCAGACCUUCCCCCACCCCACAUACCAUCGCCUUCUGGAAUGUGGCUUUGUGGAACUGAGGCUGAGACAAUCACAGUGCCCCAUUCUUCUGGUCAUGUGACAGGUCUGGACCUGGUCAUGUGGCAAAGUCGAAUCUAAGUCACAUCAAAGCAGGGAGAGUUAAAGCAAAUCUUUUCUCUCUUGUUGUGGAGCUGGAAUAUGAGCCCAGAAGCUUCCAGAACACAUGGUCCUGCCCUCAUAAAGAAGCUCAAGUGAGGGAACAAAAUCGACUUAGGUAGCAGCGAGCAUGGAUGGGGCCUGGCUACAUCAAGUUCUCAGAUCCUGUUGUCCCCACCCACCCCCUGUAACUUGCCAAUUUUAUCCAUCAAGCAUCCUCUCCUCUCUCCCAACUUGUCUGAGUUCUGUUUCUGUCAUUGUCACCAAGAGAGCUUUGAUGAGUAAGAAAUCCCAACAUUCCACGGGAGUCUUGGUGGUUUAAAUUUUUAAGUGAGUCCUCACUUGUUAAAGUCUUAUUCCUGUUAGAGGGCACUUCCAUAGUCCAGAAGGUGGGGAAUUCCUAUAGGUGACCUGUGGUCUCUCUAAGCAAUUUGACCAGGACUAUUUAAUAAAAUAUUUUAAAAAUGGUUCCUUUUAAUUAUUCAUUUUCAAAUGUAUAUUUGUUCUUGGCAAACAAGAGAUGAUUUGCGUUAAUCAGUGAUCUUUAAGCAAAUUCCUUGCAAUACUUUAUCUCCAUAUAAACUCGAAGCUUCUUAAAUGAAAUAGUACCUGUGUAUUUCAUAUGGCUUCCUCUUUUAUAAAUAAAAUGAAUGGACUUGGGACCAAAACAGAAUUUUUUUUUUCGGGAACUAUAGGACUGGAAUCUUUUUAUCCAAGGCAGUUGGAUCCCACAGUACAUUUUCACUGUAACAGACAAUGAGGUUGAGUCAAUAAAUAAAUAAAUAAAGUCACCAACAUGUCCAAAAGCCUCCAUUUAAAACUCAAAGCCAGUGGUUUUGGGUUUCACCUUUUCCUUUAAAAUUAAAUUCCCUGAAACCAUAUUUUAAAAAUGCUAUCUGAAUGGGAACCGCCAAACUGGGAAACUUUAAGUUUAAAAAUAGAACUGCAUCUGAAUUAUCUUAUAGAAAUUUGUCUUCUAACCAGCCAUCAGUAACUGUAAGCAUGCUUCAUAGAUCUACAUAUUUCAGCACUUUUUACAUUCUGAAAGAAUCUUGCUUAGAUACGAAGGUUAACUGGACACCUUUUUCUGCAUUCACCUUUAAUACUGGAUGCCCCCUUUAUCUGCACUCCCAAGCUGGGAAGCCCCAGAGUGGGCUCUUGGCCCCUUGCGGCCAACUGAAGUUCUCCAUCUCUGCAGCCUCCGUGAUCACCUUAAGAAUAGGCUCGCGACCUCCUUUGGGCCACACAGAGUCCUUCUCAGGGCUUGCGCUGGAGCUCUCAGGAGGGAUGCUCGCUUUCUCACUGAUCAGGAACUCUAAGGACCAAAGCCUGGAGUGAGGAUGUGAUCUGCUUGCAAGCGAAGGAGGCAGGAGGCAGCCGGACUCGAGGGCACACAUGACCUGGCAGGGCUGAACCUCAGGCUCCGGUGAGGCUGGCUCCUGACUGCCCCUCUGGACUUUCUCAGUUAUUUCAGGCCAUGGAUUAUCUUUAGUGCUUAAGCUAGUUUGAGUUGUGUUUCUGCCACUCAUAAUUCAGAGAAUCCUGGUGGCUUCAGUGUGAUCAGGAAGACAUUGGGAGCCAUUUUAGUUUUUACUUAACUUUUCCAAACUUGCUAGACAGGCUGAUUAUGGGUCUGUGCUAGUCUGGGAACCUGUGUUUGCUCUCUUAAGCCAUGGGUCUUAGACUCAUUUCCUGUUGCAAACAGGAUGCACUGCACAUUUUUACUGUGUUUUUGCUGCCCAUAAGUGGGAGGCAGAUUCGAAUGAUAGAAUUGGAAAGGUUCCAAAAGCACCAGCCAUGGUAGGGACCCUGAAGAUUGCAAGAUAAACAAAAGCAUUCAGAACUUGUGAUGGGAGUGUGAGAGGAUUGAGCGUUGAAGUCAGCCUAACAGAGGCUGUCGUUUACCCGGUGAAAUCCUCAAGUUACAAACAGCUGCUGUGCAAUUGGAAGUCACAGUCUUCAGUUAGGCUUGAUUUGUCAUUUGGUUUAUAAAUAAGCUUUCAUUUUGUCUUUUUUUUUUUUUUUUUUUGGUCUGGCAAUGUGGUAUCUCUUCCUUGCAGGAUUUGGGAAGCUGGGAAUAUGUGUGACCCACACUACCUGAGGGUGAUAGACUUUGACAGUGUCUCCAGCAUUUUCAUGUUGAAAUCUGCUUUAUCCUAAUUUCCAGUCUUGGUCUUGUCUGUCACAGGCUGGGGAGAAGAGCACCGUCCAGAGAAGGACCCAAUAAGGGACAUUUCCACCUUGCUUAGUGGGUUGAGGGCUGGGCUUUGGGUUUGAGAUGUGAAGAGAAAGAAGCUACGUGGAAGAGAAAGGAUGGAGGUACAAGGACGCCCUCCAGCCGGCUACACUUCUGAAACUAAAACAUACAAAACUCAGUGGCUUUUCCUCAACUCCUAUGAUGGAUGUGCAAGGACGCCCUCCAGCUGGCUGCAUUUCUGAUGCUAAAAAUACAAAACUCAGCAGCUUUGCCCAUACUCCUAUGAUGCCUG